AACGCACAUUGCACCCUCUGGUAUUCCGGGGGGUAUGCCUGUUCGAGCGUCAUUAAAACUCUCAAGCUCUGCUUGGUAUUGGGUGUCACCUUGCAAUUGUGGUGCAUCUCAAAAUCAGUGGCGGUGCCAUUAAGCCUCAAGUGUAGUAAGAUUUCUCGCUUUGGGGCCAUGAUGUGCGCUGGCCAGCAACAAAUUUUUGGAUGGUUGACCUCGGAUCAGGUAGGGAUACCCGCUGAACUUAA
rnacentral:misc_RNA from 1 species